rnacentral:rRNA from 1 species
AACGAACGCUGGCGGCAUGCCUAACACAUGCAAGUCGAACGAGACCUUCGGGUCUAGUGGCGCACGGGUGCGUAACGCGUGGGAACCUGCCCUUAGGUUCGGAAUAACUCCCCGAAAGGGGUGCUAAUACCGGAUAAUGUCUUCGGACCAAAGAUUUAUCGCCUUUGGAUGGGCCCGCGUUGGAUUAGCUAGUUGGUAGUGUAAAAGCCUACCAAGGCGACGAUCCAUAGCUGGUCUGAGAGGAUGAUCAGCCACACUGGGACUGAGACACGGCCCAGACUCCUACGGGAGGCAGCAGUGGGGAAUAUUGGACAAGGGGCGAAAGCCUGAUCCAGCAAUGCCGCGUGAGUGAUGAAGGCCUUAGGGUUGUAAAGCUCUUUUACCCGGGAUGAUAAUGACAGUACCGGGAGAAUAAGCUCCGGCUAACUCCGUG